AUUGAACGCUGGCGGCAGGCUUAACACAUGCAAGUCGAGCGGGGGAAGGCAGCUUGCUACCGGACCUAGCGGCGGACGGGUGAGUAAUGCUUAGGAAUCUGCCUAUUAGUGGGGGACAACAUCUCGAAAGGGAUGCUAAUACCGCAUACGUCCUACGGGAGAAAGCAGGGGAUCUUCGGACCUUGCGCUAAUAGAUGAGCCUAAGUCGGAUUAGCUAGUUGGUGGGGUAAAGGCCUACCAAGGCGACGAUCUGUAGCGGGUCUGAGAGGAUGAGCCGCCACACUGGGAAUGAGCCACGGCCCAGACUCCUACGGGAGGCAGCAGGGGGGGAUAUUGGACAAUGGGGGGAACCCUGAUCCAGACAUGCCGCGUGUGUGAAGAAGGCCUUAUGGUUGUAAAGCACUUUAAGCGAGGAGGAGGCUACUUUAGUUAGUACCUAGAGAUAGUGGACGUUACUCGCAGAAUAAGCACCGGCUAACCCUGUGCCAGCAGCCGCCGCAG
rnacentral:rRNA from 1 species